GCGAUAUGCAGCGCACGCUAGCUCGCGGGGCUGGCCCCAAGCGGCGGGCCGGGCCGGGCUGCCCCUCGGGCGGGUCCCGCCGCGCCCCCACCGCGGGGCUCAGGGCUCGCUCUGGAUCCGCGCCCACCAGGGGUCAGCCUCGGCUCGGCUUCGGGCUGACUUCCCACAAUGCAGCGGGUCUGAGUCCGCACGCCGGGAGGUGACCGAGCUGCGGCUGCUGAGCCGAGCCCCGGGUUUGCGGGGCGGCUGGGGGCGGGGCUGCAGCCGCCGCCGCUGUCCCCGCCCGGUGCCUCCUGCGGGCCGCCGCCCCGGCUCGCGGCGCGCCCUCCCGAGCCUCGGAGUCCUCUCCACCUGGCGCUGUGCGAGAUACAGUGGAUUCCAAAUCCAUAGCUGUGUAAAGUUGGAGUCUCGUGAGACGAGAACAGGUGACUUGGGUUUUAUUUCCAGUUUAUUUACAAAUUCUCUCUAUAACCUGGGGACAUUUUAGCUUUUUGUCCACUCCUCUGUAAAAUGUGGAGAACUCCCUCCUCAUUGUACCCCAGCAGAGGUAUUAAAGGUAUCCGUGGGCUCCACUCCUGGACUGGAACACGGCUGAUCUCUGCCACAGAACCAUGGGUACACUUAAUAAGUACUAAAUAAACAGCAAUUCCUUUGUUGUAUAAUUAGUAAUAAUUCACUCAGACCCCCAGGGUAACUCAUCACUCUCACCCUAACUACUGUGAAUAUUCACUAAAUUGUCAAUUAAUUCUGAGUCAUUACUUACCAGCUAAUUCAACAAAUAGUUGAAAACUGACAACCUGGAUUCAGAUCCUGGCCCUCUCAUUUAAUUCCGUGAGCUUAGGGAAGUAAGUUAAUUUUUCUGGGCCUCAGUUUCCUC
rnacentral:lncRNA from 1 species